rnacentral:lncRNA from 1 species
CAAAUGGAGAGGAGCUACUCUGUCCAUGGAUAGAAAGACUGUAUUUUCAAGAUGACCAUUCUUCCUAGCUUAACUUAGAGAAUCAGUGCAGUACCAGUCAAAAUGCCAGCAAAAUUUAAUUUGCAGCUAUCAGUAAGUGGAUUCUGGACUUAAUAUAGAAUUUGAUGCCCAGCAACACAAACACACACAAAAAAAGAUAAGAGUAAACUGGUAAAAUAGAUAGAUAUAUGGAGAGUAGAAGAUUCGAUAUAUUCAGUACAGCAUUGUGGAAGAACAAGGUUGGAAGGCUGACAAUAUCCAGUUUUGCAGUUUACUGUAAAGCUACAGUAAUGAAGUCUGUGCUCCUAGCACUGGAAUAGACAACAGAUCAGUGGCACAGAAUAGAUGGGUCAUGGGUAAACACACAUAAGUGCUGUCAACUGAACAUCGGCCAAGGAUAGCGUC